GGAUUCCCCUAGUAACUGCGAGUGAAGAGGGAAAAGCUCAAAUUUAAAAUCUGGUAGUCUUUGGCUGCCCGAGUUGUAAUUUAGAGAAGUGUUACCCGCGUUGGACCGUGUAUAAGUCUCCUGGAAUGGAGCGUCAUAGAGGGUGAGAAUCCCGUCUUUGACACGGACUACCAAGGCUUUGUGGUGCGCUCUCGAAGAGUCGUGUUGUUUGGGAAUGCAGCACUAAAUGGGUGGUAAAUUCCAUCUAAAGCUAAAUAUUGGCGAGAGACCGAUAGCGAACAAGUACCGUGAGGGAAAGAUGAAAAGAACUUUGGAAAGAGAGUUAAACAGUACGUGAAAUUGCUGAAAGGGAAACGCUUGAAGUCAGUCGCGUUGGCUAGGGAUCAACCUUGCUUUUGUGGGGUGUACUUCCUAGUUAACGGGUCAACAUCAGUUUUGACUGCUGGAAAAAGGCUAGAGGAAUGUGGCAUCUCCGGAUGUGUUAUAGCCUCUGGUCAUAUACAGUGGUUGGGACUGAGGAACUCAGCACGCCGCAAGGCCGGGUCUUUGACCACGUACGUGCUUAGGAUGUUGGCAUAAUGGCUUUAAGCGACCC
rnacentral:sRNA from 2 species